UUCACCUGAGGAUAUGUUUUUGAUUUUAGAGAAAGAGGAAGUGGGGGGGGAGAGAGAAACAUCGAUAUGAGAGGGAAACAUUGGUUGCUUGCCUCCCAUACUCACCCCGACUGGGAAUCGAACCCACAACCUAGGUAUUUGCCCUGACCAGGAAUUGGACCUGUAGCCUUUUGGUAUAUGGGACAGUGCUCUGACCAACUGAGUCACCUGACUAGGGCUUCGAUGAUUACUGAGUAAACAUUUUUUUAGCUUUGUAUCAGACAAGUUGUCAAAGAAGAAACAGAUGAAUCAGUUCAGAGUAGGACUAGCUUUGGGCUGUGUAAUAAAUCUCUUUAAAAAGCUGCCCUAUUGCCGAAACCGUGUGGCUCAGUGUGUCGACCUAUGAACCAGGCACGAUUCCCAGUCAGGGCACAUGCCCGGGUUGUGGGCUUGAUCGCCAGUGUGGGGCGUGCAGGGAGUGGCCAAUUAAGGAUUCUCUCUCAUCAUUGGUGUUUCUAUCCCUCCCUCUCCCUUCUUCUCUGAUAUAUAUAUAUGUUUGUUUCUUUGUU